CGGUAGUUCAGUUGGUUAGAAUGCCUGCCUGUCACGCAGGAGGUCGCGGGUUCGAGUCCCGUCN
rnacentral:tRNA from 1 species